GGUUAAGCGACUAAGCGUACACGGUGGAUGCCCUGGCAGUCAGAGGCGAUGAAGGACGUGCUAAUCUGCGAAAAGCGUCGGUAAGGUGAUAUGAACCGUUAUAACCGGCGAUGUCCGAAUGGGGAAACCCAGUGCAAUUCGUUGCACUAUCGUUAACUGAAUACAUAGGUUAACGAGGCGAACCGGGGGAACUGAAACAUCUAAGUACCCCGAGGAAAAGAAAUCAACCGAGAUUCCCCCAGUAGCGGCGAGCGAACGGGGAGCAGCCCAGAGUCUGAAUCAGCUUGUGUGUUAGUGGAACGGUCUGGAAAGUCCGACGGUACAGGGUGAUAGUCCCGUACACCAAAAUGCACAGGUUGUGAACUCGAAGAGUAGGGCGGGACACGUGGUAUCCUGUCUGAAUAUGGGGGGACCAUCCUCCAAGGCUAAAUACUCCUGACUGACCGAUAGUGAACCAGUACCGUGAGGGAAAGGCGAAAAGAACCCCGGCGAGGGGAGUGAAAAAGAACCUGAAACCGUGUACGUACAAGCAGUGGGAGCACCUUCGGGUGUGACUGCGUACCUUUUGUAUAAUGGGUCAGCGACUUAUAUUCUGUAGCAAGGUUAACCGUAUAGGGGAGCCGCAGGGAAACCGAGUCUUAACUGGGCGUUAAGUUGCAGGGUAUAGACCCGAAACCCGGUGAUCUAGCCAUGGGCAGGUUGAAGGUUGGGUAACACUAACUGGAGGACCGAACCGACUAAUGUUGAAAAAUUAGCGGAUGACUUGUGGCUGGGGGUGAAAGGCCAAUCAAACCGGGAGAUAGCUGGUUCUCCCCGAAAGCUAUUUAGGUAGCGCCUCGUGAAUUCAUCUUCGGGGGUAGAGCACUGUUUCGGCUAGGGGGUCAUCCCGACUUACCAACCCGAUGCAAACUACGAAUACCGAAGAAUGUUAUCACGGGAGACACACGGCGGGUGCUAACGUCCGUCGUGAAGAGGGAAACAACCCAGACCGCCAGCUAAGGUCCCAAAGUCAUGGUUAAGUGGGAAACGAUGUGGGAAGGCACAGACAGCCAGGAUGUUGGCUUAGAAGCAGCCAUCAUUUAAAGAAAGCGUAAUAGCUCACUGGUCGAGUCGGCCUGCGCGGAAGAUGUAACGGGGCUAAACCAUGCACCGAAGCUGCGGCAGCGACACUAUGUGUUGUUGGGUAGGGGAGCGUUCUGUAAGCCUGCGAAGGUGUGCUGUGAGGCAUGCUGGAGGUAUCAGAAGUGCGAAUGCUGACAUAAGUAACGAUAAAGCGGGUGAAAAGCCCGCUCGCCGGAAGACCAAGGGUUCCUGUCCAACGUUAAUCGGGGCAGGGUGAGUCGACCCCUAAGGCGAGGCCGAAAGGCGUAGUCGAUGGGAAACAGGUUAAUAUUCCUGUACUUGGUGUUACUGCGAAGGGGGGACGGAGAAGGCUAUGUUAGCCGGGCGACGGUUGUCCCGGUUUAAGCAUGUAGGCUGGUUAUCCAGGCAAAUCCGGAUAAUCAAGGCUGAGGUGUGAUGACGAGGCACUACGGUGCUGAAGUAACAAAUGCCCUGCUUCCAGGAAAAGCCUCUAAGCAUCAGGUAACAUCAAAUCGUACCCCAAACCGACACAGGUGGUCAGGUAGAGAAUACCAAGGCGCUUGAGAGAACUCGGGUGAAGGAACUAGGCAAAAUGGUGCCGUAACUUCGGGAGAAGGCACGCUGGUGUGUAGGUGAAGUCCCUGCGGAUGGAGCUGAGACCAGUCGAAGAUACCAGCUGGCUGCAACUGUUUAUUAAAAACACAGCACUGUGCAAACACGAAAGUGGACGUAUACGGUGUGACGCCUGCCCGGUGCCGGAAGGUUAAUUGAUGGGGUUAUCCGUAAGGAGAAGCUCUUGAUCGAAGCCCCGGUAAACGGCGGCCGUAACUAUAACGGUCCUAAGGUAGCGAAAUUCCUUGUCGGGUAAGUUCCGACCUGCACGAAUGGCGUAAUGAUGGCCAGGCUGUCUCCACCCGAGACUCAGUGAAAUUGAACUCGCUGUGAAGAUGCAGUGUACCCGCGGCAAGACGGAAAGACCCCGUGAACCUUUACUAUAGCUUGACACUGAACAUUGAGCCUUGAUGUGUAGGAUAGGUGGGAGGCUUUGAAGCGUGGACGCCAGUCUGCGUGGAGCCAACCUUGAAAUACCACCCUUUAAUGUUUGAUGUUCUAACGUUGGCCCCUUACCGGGGUUGCGGACAGUGUCUGGUGGGUAGUUUGACUGGGGCGGUCUCCUCCCAAAGCGUAACGGAGGAGCACGAAGGUUAGCUAAUCCUGGUCGGACAUCAGGAGGUUAGUGCAAUGGCAUAAGCUAGCUUGACUGCGAGCGUGACGGCGCGAGCAGGUGCGAAAGCAGGUCAUAGUGAUCCGGUGGUUCUGAAUGGAAGGGCCAUCGCUCAACGGAUAAAAGGUACUCCGGGGAUAACAGGCUGAUACCGCCCAAGAGUUCAUAUCGACGGCGGUGUUUGGCACCUCGAUGUCGGCUCAUCACAUCCUGGGGCUGAAGUAGGUCCCAAGGGUAUGGCUGUUCGCCAUUUAAAGUGGUACGCGAGCUGGGUUUAGAACGUCGUGAGACAGUUCGGUCCCUAUCUGCCGUGGGCGCUGGAGAAUUGAGGGGGGCUGCUCCUAGUACGAGAGGACCGGAGUGGACGCAUCACUGGUGUUCGGGUUGUCAUGCCAAUGGCACUGCCCGGUAGCUAAAUGCGGAAGAGAUAAGUGCUGAAAGCAUCUAAGCACGAAACUUGCCCCGAGAUGAGUUCUCCCUGAGACUUUAAGUCUCCUGAAGGAACGUUGAAGACGACGACGUUGAUAGGCCGGGUGUGUAAGCGCAGCGAUGCGUUGAGCUAACCGGUACUAAUGAACCGUGAGGCUUAACCUU
rnacentral:rRNA from 2 species